rnacentral:rRNA from 1 species
AGAGUUUGAUCCUGGCUCAGAUUGAACGCUGGCGGCAUGCCUUACACAUGCAAGUCGAACGGCAGCACGGGUGCUUGCACCUGGUGGCGAGUGGCGAACGGGUGAGUAAUAUAUCGGAACGUACCUUAUCGUGGGGGAUAACGCAGCGAAAGCUGCGCUAAUACCGCAUACGCCCUGAGGGGGAAAGCGGGGGACCGUAAGGCCUCGCGCGAUUAGAGCGGCCGAUAUCUGAUUAGCUUGUUGGUGGGGUAAAAGCCCACCAAGGCGACGAUCAGUAGCUGGUCUGAGAGGACGAUCAGCCACACUGGGACUGAGACACGGCCCAGACUCCUACGGGAGGCAGCAGUGGGGAAUUUUGGACAAUGGGGGCAACCCUGAUCCAGCAAUGCCGCGUGAGUGAAGAAGGCCUUCGGGUUGUAAAGCUCUUUUGUCAGGGAAGAAACAGCAGCUCUAACACAGUCUGCGAAUGACGGUACCUGAAGAAUAAGCACCGGCUAACUACGUGCCAGCAGCCGCGGUAAUACGUAGGGUGCAAGCGUUAAUCGGAAUUACUGAGCGUAAAGCGUGCGCAGGCGGUUAUACAAGACAGGCGUGAAAUCCCCGGG